CUUCCAGUAGCACCUUAGAGACCAACUAAGUUUGUUAUUGGCAUCUCAUACCAAUUAGAAACUUAGUUGGUCUCUAAGGUGCUACUGGAAG